UACGGGGGGGGGCAAGCGUUGUUCGGAAUUACUGGGCGUAAAGGGCUCGUAGGCGGCCAACUAAGUCAGACGUGAAAUCCCUCGGCUUAACCGGGGAACUGCGUCUGAUACUGGAUGGCUUGAAUCCGGGAGAGGGAUGCGGAAUUCCAGGUGUAGCGGUGAAAUGCGUAGAUAUCUGGAGGAACACCGGUGGCGAAGGCGGCAUCCUGGACCAACACUGACGCUGAGUGAGCGAAAGCCAGGGGAGCAAACGGG
rnacentral:rRNA from 1 species